rnacentral:rRNA from 3 species
AACUUUCAGCAACGGAUCUCUUGGCUCUCGCAUCGAUGAAGAACGCAGCGAAAUGCGAUAAGUAAUGUGAAUUGCAGAAUUCAGUGAAUCAUCGAAUCUUUGAACGCACCUUGCGCUCCUUGGUAUUCCGAGGAGCAUGCCUGUUUGAGUGUUA